UGGGGAAUAUUGGACAAUGGGCGCAAGCUUGAUCCAGCCAUACCGCGUGGGUGAAGAAGGCCUUCGGGUCGUAAAGCCCUUUUGUUGGGAAAGAAAUCCAGCUGGCUAAUACCCGGUUGGGAUGACGGUACCCAAAGAAUAAGCACCGGCUAACUUCGUGCCAGCAGCCGCGGUAAUACGAAGGGUGCAAGCGUUACUCGGAAUUACUGGGCGUAAAGCGUGCGUAGGUGGUCGUUUAAGUCCGUUGUGAAAGCCCUGGGCUCAACCUGGGAACUGCAGUGGAUACUGGGCGACUAGAGUGUGGUAGAGGGUAGCGGAAUUCCUGGUGUAGCAGUGAAAUGCGUAGAGAUCAGGAGGAACAUCCAUGGCGAAGGCAGCUACCUGGACCAACACUGACACUGAGGCACGAAAGCGUGGGGAGCAAACAGGAUUAGAUACCCUGGUAGUCCACGCCCUAAACGAUGCGAACUGGAUGUUGGGUGCAAUUUGGCACGCAGUAUCGAAGCUAACGCGUUAAGUUCGCCGCCUGGGGAGUACGGUCGCAAGACUG
rnacentral:rRNA from 1 species